GGCGAAUUAGCUCAGUCGGUUAGAGCGACGGAAUCAUAAUCCGCAGGUCC
rnacentral:tRNA from 1 species